UCCCUAUUGUCAGUGAUCAGGAUUAAUCCCAGUUUUGCUUCUUAUAAUCUACAGUUCAAGACUCUUCUCUUUGCACAGACCUUCUCCCAAUAAUAGACCUACAGAUGGCUGAGAACUGGCCUCCUGGAAGACAGCAACAAAACUGGUCGCAUUCAGGACAACAGCUAAAAUGAGGAUGGCUUCAAGGCAGAAAAGUGGUUUUAGGAGAGAGAUGAAUGAGGAGAGAAGCAACCCCGCCACUGUUGUUGCUACUACUGCCUUACUGUCUUCUGGUACCCAGAGGGGAAAAUACAGCCAUUUCUGGAGUAAUAAACAAUUGCUAUUUCAGCCAGACCCACUGGCUCAUGUCUCCAGUUCCUGUGUCCUAAUUUAAUGGUGUGUAACCAAUGC